GAAGAACGCUGGCGGAGUGCUUAACACAUGCAAGUCGAACGGAGUGGCGAGCGGGUGAGUAACACGUGGGUGAACUGCCCUGCACUUCGGGAUAAACCUGGGCAACUGGGGCUAAUCCCGGGUAGUGUGUGAUGGGCCCGCGGCCUAUCAGCUUGUUGGUGGGGUACUGGCCUACCAAGGCGGCGCCGGGUAGCCGGCCUGCUAGGGUGGACGGCAAGAUUUUGACUGUGCCACUCGCCAGACGCCUACGGUAGGUAUAAGGGGGUAAGAUUGUGAAAUGGGCGCAGGCCGUAGGCAGAGAGGCGACGUGGGGGAUGAAUCCUUGCGGGUUUUAAACCUGUUUAGCCAUCGAAAGCGUAGGCGGAUCAGAAGCCCCCGCUAACUACGGGCCAGCAGCCGCGGUAAUUC
rnacentral:rRNA from 1 species